rnacentral:lncRNA from 1 species
UUUUUUAUGGGAUGAUUAUGGACUAAGUGAAGAUACGUCAUAGCUUGAAAAGUUUAUGGUUGUAUGUGUUAUUGGAGCAGUAGAGGUCCGGAAAAGGAUUUGAUUCCUACUUUUCUAGAUAGCCCAAAGAAUAAUUAGAGUUAAGAUGGUUAGUAAGGCCAUUUUGUUAUUCAUAAUAGUCUAUUGAGUUGGUGUUGUACAUAGUAAGAGGAUUUCUGGUUCAAGUGGUUUGGAGGGAUAUGUAUGUUGAAUUCAUCCCAUAAGGCGUUUGCUUUUGGGCAUGUCAUGAAUAAGUGGUCAUUUGUUUCAAUAAUAUUGGGCAUGAAGCACAAGUGUUCAAUCGAAUAAUGUUUCGAUUAAAAAGGUUUUCUGUUGUAUGUAAUUUGAUAUUGAAAAGUAGCCACAAGAAGAACUUUAUUUUAUUCAAGGCGCAGAUUUUUCACAUCUAUUGAUAAGAGAGGGAAAAUGGGAGGUGAGAAUUAUUAGUCUUGUAAGUACAUAUGGUAGGCUGAUUUUAUAGAGAAUGAAUCUAAGGUUGUAUUUUUCCAAAAGAAGGAAUCUAUUUUGGGUUCUGAAUCUUGAAUGUAGG